AUCAUUUCUUGGCCCUUUGGUUAAGAUCAAGCAUAGUAUCUAUUCACAUCAGUUUAAUAUAUGAGACGUCGUCUAUCCGAGAGCAAUAUAUUAAGUGGAUUUUUGGAGCAGGGGGAUGGAAUAGGAGCUUGCCCUAUCCACCCCAGGCAUCGACCUGGUAUUGCAGUACUUUAGGCAUGGUGCGCUCCCU